rnacentral:rRNA from 1 species
GCUCAGCCCUAAACCGAAGUGACAACAUAACAAUGUCACUCGCCAGGAAACUACUAGCUACAGCUUAAAACUCAAAGGACUUGGCGGUGCUUUAUAUCCACCUAGAGGAGCCUGUUCUGUAAUCGAUAAACCCCGAUAAACCUCACCAACCCUUGCUAAUACAGUCUAUAUACCGCCAUCUUCAGCAAACCCCAAAAGGGGACCACAGUAAGCAAAAACAUAAAACAUAAAAACGUUAGGUCAAGGUGUAGCCUAUGAGUUGGAAAGAAAUGGGCUACAUUUUCUAAUAAUAGAACAUAAACGAAAAUUUUCGUGAAACCGAAAAUAGAAGGAGGAUUUAGCAGUAAAUUAAGAAUAGAGAGCUUAAUUGAAUUAGGCCAUGAAGCACGC